CNNNCUGGCUGGCUCAGGACGAACGCUGGCGGCGCGCCUAACACAUGCAAGUCGAACGGAGCUGUUUUCUCUGAAGUUUUCGGAUGGAAGAGAGUUCAGCUUAGUGGCGAACGGGUGAGUAACACGUGAGCAACCUGCCUUUCAGUGGGGGACAACAUUUGGAAACGAAUGCUAAUACCGCAUAAGACCACCAAGGCAGUGUCGCAUGGCACAGGGGUCAAAGGAUUUAUCCGCUGAAAGAUGGGCUCGCGUCCGAUUAGCUAGAUGGUGAGGUAACGGCCCACCAUGGCAACGAUCGGUAGCCGGACUGAGAGGUUGAACGGCCACAUUGGGACUGAGACACGGCCCAGACUCCUACGGGAGGCAGCAGUGGGGAAUAUUGCACAAUGGGGGAAACCCUGAUGCAGCGACGCCGCGUGGAGGAAGAAGGUCUUCGGAUUGUAAACUCCUGUCCCAGGGGACGAUAAUGACGGUACCCUGGGAGGAAGCACCGGCUAACUACGUGCCAGCAGCCGCGGUAAAACGUAGGGUGCAAGCGUUGUCCGGAAUUACUGGGUGUAAAGGGAGCGCAGGCGGAUUGGCAAGUUGGGAGUGAAAUCUAUGGGCUCAACCCA
rnacentral:rRNA from 1 species